AGGGUCAGCGAUUGGGGUGAAGUCGUAACAAGGUAGCCGUAGGAGAACCUGCGGCUGGAUCACCUCCUUU
rfam:Clostridium disporicum strain 2789STDY5834856 genome assembly, contig: SCcontig000056